rnacentral:tRNA from 1 species
CGCGGGGUGGAGCAGCUGGUAGCUCGUCGGGCUCAUAACCCGGAGGCCGCAGGUUCAAAUCCUGUCCCCGCUACCA